UACGUAGGGUGCAAGCGUUAAUCGGAAUUACUGGGCGUAAAGCGUGCGUAGGUGGUUUGUUAAGUCUGAUGUGAAGCCCUGGGCUCAACCUGGGAAUUGCAUUGGAUACUGGCAGGCUAGAGUGCGGUAGAGGGUAGUGGAAUUCCCGGUGUAGCAGUGAAAUGCGUAGAGAUCGGGAGGAACAUCUGUGGCGAAGGCGACUACCUGGACCAGCACUGACACUGAGGCACGAAAGCGUGGGGAGCAAACAGG
rnacentral:rRNA from 1 species